rnacentral:rRNA from 1 species
GAGUUUGAUCCUGGCUCAGGACGAACGCUGGCGGCGCGCCUAACACAUGCAAGUCGAACGAGAGAGAGGGAGCUUGCUUCCUUAAUCGAGUGGCGAACGGGUGAGUAACGCGUGAGGAACCUGCCUCAAAGAGGGGGACAACAGUUGGAAACGACUGCUAAUACCGCAUAAGCCCACGACCCGGCAUCGGGAAGAGGGAAAAGGAGCAAUCCGCUUUGAGAUGGCCUCGCGUCCGAUUAGCUAGUUGGUGAGGUAACGGCCCACCAAGGCGACGAUCGGUAGCCGGACUGAGAGGUUGAACGGCCACAUUGGGACUGAGACACGGCCCAGACCCCUACGGGAGGCAGCAGUGGGGAAUAUUGCACAAUGGGGGAAACCCUGAUGCAGCGACGCCGCGUGGAGGAAGAAGGUCUUCGGAUUGUAAACUCCUGUUGUUGAGGAAGAUAAUGACGGUACUCAACAAGGAAGUGACGGCUAACUACGUGCCAGCCGCCGCGGUAAUAC